AAGAUAGUUGAAAAAGAGACGACUAGUAGCAGUAACAGUAGACAGGACAAUGUAUGCGUGUGAGUGUGUUUUCGUUUUUUGGAUUUUAUUGGUGAUUCGUUAAUAAAGUAUGGCUAGGUUUUCGACAUGUAAAUUACAGAAUAAGGAGACUGUCUAGCAAGUAGCUACAGACAGGAAGGAGGAAGACAGCAAAUGAAUGGCGAGAUUCUGUACCAUGCAAAACACAAACUAAGAAGUUACAAGAAAAGCAGGCGGUCAAUUAGUUAAGAUGGUAAAGAUCGAUCUGGAUACGGGCUAGGUUUAGUUUUUCCGAUGCUGACACGCCUAAUCAAAGCAAAACUGGAAGAGUGCGCCAUCUUGCAGGGAACGAGAAAAUUUCUUCUGGCUGCGGAACUUUGCAAAUUGCAGAACUUUUUAUCAAACCCGUCAAGUUAUAAAUGGAAGGUAUGUGGGUCUUACGAAAUUCCUUGCUUUGGGAAUGAGGAUUUGGAUCUAGUUAAUGUCUGAAACUUGCUUGUGCUUCGCUGUUUUGUAUAUUGCUUGCCAAUCCCCAAACUCCGGUCACAUGGUCACAUGGAGGUGUUCCUUUCGUGUUCCUUGUGGGCUCUCUCUUCUGUGCAGGGAUAGCCUCAAAUGUCACAUUUAAGUUUCUGCUAUGUGUGGACACUGGUCCUUAUGGGCCCAUUCAUCAAUUUCAUUAUCCACAACCCUUUCUCUCU